AAACAAAACUGUGAGCCAGACUUCCUUCCUCCUGGGGUGCCCCCAAGCUGAGGCUGAGUCCAGACCAGGGGUGAAUUGAGAUUAGGGUUGAAAUGGCGGCCACACGUCGCGUUGCACUUCUUCCUGUGGUUGAAACCAGUGGUGAGCAUCGGCACAGAACCCGCAGGACUGAGACAAUGCAUAUGUUGAUACUGAGAUUUUAAGAGGUUCUUCUGGGGAGGCCCAGGGAAUUCUCCCUCUGUUUUCAGGCAGCCCCCAGCCUCUCCCACCCCCACACUAGCCUUCUGAAGAGGCUGCUGCCUACGCUCCCCAAAAUAUGGCAUUAAAGACGCACCCUUGCUGAGGGGAGCCCUGGCUGCC